rnacentral:rRNA from 1 species
AUUGAACGCUGGCGGCAUGCUUUACACAUGCAAGUCGGACGGCAGCACAGAGAAGCUUGCUUCUUGGGUGGCGAGUGGCGAACGGGUGAGUAAUAUAUCGGAACGUACCGAGUAAUGGGGGAUAACUAAUCGAAAGAUUAGCUAAUACCGCAUAUUCUCUGAGGAGGAAAGCAGGGGACCUUCGGGCCUUGCGUUAUUCGAGCGGCCGAUAUCUGAUUAGCUAGUUGGUGGGGUAAAGGCCUACCAAGGCGACGAUCAGUAGCGGGUCUGAGAGGAUGAUCGGCCACACUGGGACUUAGACACGGCCCAGACUCCUGCGGGAGGCAGCAGUGGGGAAUUUUAGACAGUGGGCGCAAGCCUGAUCCAGCCAUGCCGCGUGUCUGAAGAAGGCCUUCGGGUUGUAAAGGACUUUUGUCAGGGAAGAAAAGGCUGUUGCUAAUACCGACAGCUGAUGACGGUACCUGAAGAAUAAGCACCGGCUAACUACGUG